GUUUGUCUGAUUUUUGCUGUUAUAUGCUUCAUUUCCUCUUGUUCAGUCCUUUAGCUGUUAAAUGUUAAGUUGCAUUGUCUCUAUUUCGUUUAUUUCUGCUUGGUUCCCGAGAAAAUGAGGGAAAAUACUCUCAUAAACUGUUGAAUGGUAAUUAUGUAGCAUUUUCAUUGUGAAAAAUUGGAAAUAAUGCAAAAAUAGCUCGUUAUCAGGUUUUGUUCAGUGUAAUAGCUUCUCCUUGGUCCAAAAAAAAAUUGCAAAAUAAAAUAACAUAAAGGGGAAGUGAAGAUAUGACUUGAAUUGAACGUUGAUUUUUUCUUUUCUGCUUGAAUUUUCUUGGUAACCAAACAAAGAUUUAAAAAUUAUCUAAUUAUAAUAAUAUGGCUUAUUUUUCACAGCUUCUUGCUAAUUGGUUCAAAUUAAAGUCAUGACUGUG
rnacentral:misc_RNA from 1 species